UACGUAGGGUGCGAGCGUUGUCCGGAAUUAUUGGGCGUAAAGAGCUUGUAGGCGGUUUGUCGCGUCUGCCGUGAAAAUCCGGGGCCCAACCCCGGACUUGCGGUGGGUACGGGCAGACUAGAGUGUGGUAGGGGAGACUGGAAUUCCUGGUGUAGCGGUGAAAUGCGCAGAUAUCAGGAGGAACACCGAUGGCGAAGGCAGGUCUCUGGGCCACUACUGACGCUGAGAAGCGAAAGCGUGGGGAGCGAACAGG
rnacentral:rRNA from 1 species